CCCAGACUCCUACGGGAGGCAGCAGUGGGGGAUAUUGCACAAUGGGGGAAACCCUGAUGCAGCGACGCCGCGUGGGCGAAGAAGUCUUUCGGUAUGUAAAGCCCUAUCAGCAGGGAAGAAGAAAUGACGGUACCUGAGUAAGAAGCACCGGCUAAAUACGUGCCAGCAGCCGCGGGAAUACGUAUGGUGCAAGCGUUAUCCGGAUUUACUGGGUGUAAAGGGAGCGCAGGCGGCACGGCAAGCCUGAUGUGAAAGCCCGCGGCCCAACCGCGGGACUGCAUUGGGAACUGCCGGGCUGGAGUGCGGGAGAGGUAGGCGGAAUUCCUAGUGUGGCGGUGAAAUGCGUAGAUAUUAGGAGGAACACCAGUGGCGAAGGCGGCCUGCUGGACGAUGACUGACGUUGAGGCUCGAAAGCGUGGGGAGCAAACAGGAUUAGAUACCCGCGUA
rnacentral:rRNA from 1 species